rfam:Capsicum annuum cultivar Zunla-1 chromosome 2, whole genome shotgun sequence
GACAAUGAUUCCAGUUAUUGUCGCCCCCGUCUUACGUUCCAUCCAAAUUUAUUUGCAAGGUGGUGAUUGACACAUUGUAUUUGAUUC